GUGCUCGCUUCGACAGCACAUAUGUUCAAGUUGGAACAACACGGAGAAGAUUCACACGGCCCCUGCACAAGGGUGACACACAAAUUCGUGAAAUUUCCAUGUUUUUA